rnacentral:rRNA from 1 species
GAUGAACGCUGGCGGCGUGCUUAACACAUGCAAGUCAAACGAAGCACUUUUGAUUGAUUUCCUCGGAAAGAUUUCACUUGUGACUGAGUGGCGGACGGGUGAGUAACGCGUGGGUAACCUGCCUCAUACAGGGGGAUAACAGUUAGAAAUGACUGCUAAUACCGCAUAAGCGCACGGUAUCGCAUGAUACAGUGUGAAAAACUCCGGUGGUAUGAGAUGGACCCGCGUCUGAUUAGCUAGUUGGUGAGGUAACGGCCCACCAAGGCGACAAUCAGUAGCCGACCUGAGAGGGUGACCGGCCACAUUGGGACUGAGACACGGCCCAAACUCCUACGGGAGGCAGCAGUGGGGAAUAUUGCACAAUGGGCGAAAGCCUGAUGCAGCGACGCCGCGUGAACGAAGAAGUAUUUCGGUAUGUAAAGUUCUAUCAGCAGGGAAGAUAAUGACGGUACCUGACUAAGAAGCACCGGCUAAAUACGUGCCAGCCGCCACCGUAAUAC